rnacentral:lncRNA from 1 species
GUCUUAAAUACUCUUUACUGGUCUGUCUUGAUGCUGUAAAAUCCCUGCAUCUUAAAGAUUUUAAUCUUUCUCUGUGUUUUUUUUUUGCCUUCAAAAGGACACUACUCUUAGCCCAUGUUAAAGGUCUUGUUCCCUUGUCCUGUGUUUACAGGCUCAGAGGCCAGUGCCCUCCCUGACGCUGGGGACAGGGCUCCUCUUGAACAGCAGCCCAGUAAGGAGGAGGGGGGCUCCCGUCUGAUGCAGGAGACAGAGCUCACCGCCGCACACGGGAAAGAGACACUCAGUGAGCAGCAGCACACAGAGAGCAGACAGAGGGUGGAGGAUCUGGACUCUGUGCCCGUGAUGAAGACAGAGCCUGAGACAGAGACACCUGGGUUCCUACUAUCUGAUGAUUUUACAGAGAAGAUGAAUAAUCUGGACACCAAGAAUAUUGCAGCACACUGUAUUGAACUGGGCCGUGUCUCUGUACAAGAGCCCAAAGAAGAACUGGGGUCAGAGGUCAGCGCUCUCCCCGAUGCUGGGGACAGGGCUCCUCUUGAACAGCAGCCCAGCGAGGAGGAGGAGGAGGGGGGCUCCCGUCUGAUGCAGGAGACAGAGCUCGCCGCCGCACACGGGAAAGAGACACUCAGUGAGCAGCAGCACACAGAGAGCAG